UGGCAUUUGUAAUGAGACA
rnacentral:piRNA from 1 species